UACGUAGGGUGCAAGCGUUAAUCGGAAUUACUGGGCGUAAAGCGUGCGCAGGCGGUUUUGUAAGUCCGUCGUGAAAUCCCCGGGCUUAACCUGGGAAUGGCGAUGGAGACUGCAAGGCUAGAGUUUGGCAGAGGGGGGUAGAAUUCCAUGUGUAGCAGUGAAAUGCGUAGAGAUGUGGAGGAACACCGAUGGCGAAGGCAGCCCCCUGGGUCAAAACUGACGCUCAUGCACGAAAGCGUGGGGAGCAAACAGG
rnacentral:rRNA from 1 species